AUUGAACGCUGGCGGCAUGCCUUACACAUGCAAGUCGAACGGUAACGCGGGGCAACCUGGCGACGAGUGGCGAACGGGUGAGUAAUGCAUCGGAACGUGCCCAGUAGUGGGGGAUAGCCCGGCGAAAGCCGGAUUAAUACCGCAUACGACCUACGGGUGAAAGCGGGGGACCGUAAGGCCUCGCGCUAUUGGAGCGGCCGAUGUCAGAUUAGGUAGUUGGUGGGGUAAAGGCCUACCAAGCCUUCGAUCUGUAGCUGGUCUGAGAGGACGACCAGCCACACUGGGACUGAGACACGGCCCAGACUCCUACGGGAGGCAGCAGUGGGGAAGUUUUGGUACAAUGGGCGGCAAGCCUGAUCCAGCCAUGCCGCGUGAGUGAAGAAGGCCUCGGUUGU
rnacentral:rRNA from 1 species